GCUCCGUGCCCAGCUCUGAGGAUGCAGAAGAAUCACACUUCUGCCCUGGGAUCUCUCCAGCUGGUGGGGGAGGCAGAUUUGGACACAACUAACCAUGCUACAAUGGCUGCGGCUCUGGAGGCCUAUACUCCGAAUGGUGCUAGAAACAAAGCCUGUGAGUGUGAUCUGGGACUCCAGAGCCCCUCAUACACCACCACCAUGGCAGGAAAAGGUGCCAAAGGGAUGCUGGUAAGGAUACUGGAUUGGUUUACCAUUUCCUUCUCCAAUGCAUGCAUGCUAAGUCGCUUCAGUCGUGUCAGAUUCUGUGCGACCCCAUGGACAGCAGCCCACCAGGCUCCUCUGACCACGGGAUUAUCUAGAUGGUAAACGCCUUGAGAACAGGACACUCUCAUCUAAAUCACUGCAUCUCCAGCCGUGGCUCCCACUGUGCUUACUGAGCACCCGUCCCUGUUCUUAGUGAUUUCUGCUACAUCUUCAUAAUAACAAGAGUGAUGUUGUAACCACUCCCACUUAAUGGAUGAACAGUUGAGACGGAAAGAGUUUGGUGACCUCACAAGGCCAAGCUGGUAUGUAGCACAGCCAAGAUCUGAGUGAGGUCUGUGUGGGUCUAGAGCUGGUGUGAAGACACUGAGAGCGGGGUGCUGGGAUCCAAGUCCCAUUGGGCAUCAGGUGUCUGCUGGGAGAUGAGGGCAUGGUCCUGAGCUUAGGGCCUGCCUGGCAGGCCUCAGACCAGCUCUCAGAAAACUGUGAGGUCAUGCUAUAAAGACGUGGUGAGGACAGGGAAGGCUGGAGCCCAAAGGGCAGGCAGAAGGCAGACAUGGGCUCAGAAAUCUGCCCUGGGAGCUCUUCUCCCUUUAAAGGAGUCAAUCUUUGUCUUGAUUUGCUUUGUUCACUUGUAAAAUGGGAAUAUUUUAUAAAACCAGCACACACUAAUAGGGUUGCUGUGGGGCUCAGAUGAGAUUGUGCAGCUUUCCAAAGGGUCGCUGGAGCCUGUGGGCCCAGAAUGCCUGCACAGUAUCAUCGGCCUAAUUCACAUUAGGCACCAGGCACAGUGGGGCAUGCGUAUCCUGACACAGCAUUGCGGCCUAGCUCCUCAACAUCGGGGAAUCAGACUGAAUCUGAAAAUUGGGGUGAUGUCAUAUAAUAUGCCUAGCAUAUAGUUCCCUGGUGUCUCAGGGGUAAAGAACCCACCUGCCAAUGCAGGAGACUUGGGUUUGAUCUCUGAGUUGGGAGGAUCCCCUGGAGAAGAAAAUGGCAGCCCACUCUAGUAUUCUUGCCUAGAGAACCCCAUGGACAGAUGAGCCUGGAGAGCUACAGCCCGUGGGGUUGCAAAAGAGUUGGACACGACUGAGCAACUGAACCACAAUAAGCACAUAGUGGGUGCCCAGAAAUGGGGGUGCUUGCUCACCUCGUCUUGCUGAAGCCAGCUCGGGCAGCCCUCUCAAAGGUCACUUCCCUAGGCUCUCCAGGAGGGGGCAGCAGGGAGCCAUCCUGCCUGGGACCGCCUGCUCCUCAGGGAGGCCUGGCUCCAGCCCCGGACAAGGAGUGGAGUUCAGCGGGCCAUCCUGUGGACCUCCUGACCCAUGGCUAGUUUUCUUGGAGGGAAAUUCCCCUCUAAUUGCACUGGAUAAAAUCUCCUGAGCUUUGCCAAGCAGUAGCCCCACCCUGGAAGACAGCCCCCGGGGUGAUAAUUUCUGGAGCAUCUCCAGGUUUUGUGCUUUUGAAACCUUCCAGAAGGCUCUCCCUAGUCUAGAUCAAGUUGCCCAGUCCACACCAUGCCCCAAAUGUAGCAGAAUACCUAAGUAGGUGGAGUCUCUUACUCCCCUCUCUGUCCCUGCUCUGAGUACAGUUCUCGGCACCUACUUGGUGCUCAGGAAAUGACCCGUCCAAUGACUGAACGACUGAAUCUGCCCAGAGGUAAUUUUGCCCAAACCUCAGUGGGAGGCAAUGGCUCUAUGGUCUCCACCAUGAGUCUUGAGGACGGCGACCACAUCUUAACCGUCUUUGAACAUCUAUAGCACCGCACAGGGCCUUCCCAGGUGGCUCAGUGGUAAAGAAUCCGCCGGCCAGUGCAGGAGGUGCAGGGAACACUGGUUCAAUCCCUGGGUCAGGGAGAUCCCCUGGAGGAGGAAAUGGCAACCCACGCCAGUAUUCUUGCCUGGAAAAUUCCAUGGACAGAGGCACCUGGCAGGCUGCAGUCCAUGGGGUUGCCGAGAGUCAGACACGACUGGGCACGUACGCAGCAGCAGCAGCCCAGGGACACUGGGCCCCGAGGCUUAGAGGACGUGGACCUGCUAGGACUUCGAGUGUCACUGGGACCUCUGCCACUCAGCCCCGACUCUCCAUCCCAGCCGGGAGAAGGCUCGAGCCCUCUGACCGGCAGGGGAAGCCCUGUGCCUUUUGAUGUCCUGGCCUCCUCUGUCCCAAUACUCUGUCCUACCUGCUCCCAACCCCAACUCCAGUCUGCCACCU